rnacentral:rRNA from 1 species
AGCGAACGCUGGCGGCAGGCUUAACACAUGCAAGUCGAGCGGGCCCUUCGGGGUCAGCGGCGGACGGGUGAGUAACGCGUGGGAACGUGCCUUCUGGUCUGGAAUAACCCUGGUAAACUAGGGCUAAUACCGGAUACGCCCUUUUGGGGAAAGGUUUACUGCCGGAGGAUCGGCCCGCGUCUGAUUAGCUGGUUGGUGGUGUAACCGCCUACCAAGGCGACGAUCAGUAGCUGGUCUGAGAGGAUGGCCAGCCACACUGGGACUGAGACACGGCCCAGACUCCGACGGGAGGCAGCAGUGGGGAAUAUUGGACAAUGGGCGCAAGCCUGAUCCAGCCAUGCCGCGUGAGUGAUGAAGGCCUUAGGGUUGUAAAGCUCUUUUAUCCGGGACGAUAAUGACGGUACCGGAGGAAUAAGCCCCGGCUAACUUCGUG